rnacentral:ncRNA from 1 species
CAGGAGCACCGCUGAUUAGCUACGUUCGGGAUGGAUAACCGCUGAAAGCAUCUAAGCGGGAAGCCGGCCUCAAGAUGAGACUUCCAUGCCUUCGGGCGAGAGGCUCCCAGCUAGACUACUGGGUUGAUAGGCCAGAUGUGGAAGCGUGGUAACACGUGCAGCUGACUGGUACUAAUAAGCCGAUGACUUGAUAAC